GAACUAUUGGAAAAUUAGCAAAUUGUUUUAUUUAACAAAGCAAUAAUGUCCAAAUUUAUUGUCGUUUGUUUUCUACUGGCUUUUCUCGUCUACACCGGGAGUUGCACCUUUUUUCCGGACCAGAGCCGUAACAAUGACGGAGGUCGCGGUUCUACAACAGUUAGUGUGAAUCCUACGAAUAUUGCUGAUUCAAGAAGCGAAUCCUCUCCGGAUACUGAGCAACAAGUGAGAAGAUCGUCUUUCGGCUUUGGUCGAUGAAUUUCGGCAUUUUUAUAAAUACUUUGAAACUGUUGGCAGUUCAUCGAAUGUUAUCAAUUUAAACAUUAAAAAAUCUUGAUCUAUAACAAAA